rnacentral:rRNA from 1 species
AAUGAACGCUGGCGGCGCGCCUAAUACAUGCAAGUCGAGCGAGAAGACGUAGCAAUACGUUUGUAAAGCGGCGAACGGGUGAGGAAUACAUGGGUAACCUACCCUAGAGUGGGGAAUAACUAGCCGAAAGGUUAGCUAAUACCGCGUACGCUCCUUGGACUUCGGUUCAGGGAGGAAAGCGAUACCGAGGGUAUCGCGCUCUUGGAUGGGCUCAUGUCCUAUCAGCUUGNGGUGAGGUAACGGCUCACCAAGGCUUCGACGGGUA